GUGCGGGUCCUGCGCAAUGAAACACUGUGAACCAUGUCAGGCGGGGAACCGAGCAGCAUUAAGCAGUUUGUUUCGUGUGACGCAGUUACGCCUGCACGCC
rnacentral:SRP_RNA from 1 species